rnacentral:rRNA from 1 species
UACGGGGGGGGCAAGCGUUGUUCGGAAUUACUGGGCGUAAAGCGCGCGCAGGCGGCACACUAAGUAUGGUGUGAAAUCUUGCGGCUCAACCGCAAGCGGUCGUGGGAAACUGGGUGGCUAGAGUGCGGGAGAGGAGAGUGGAAUUCCUGGUGUAGCGGUGGAAUGCGCAGAUAUCAGGAAGAACAUCCGUGGCGAAGGCGGCUCUCUGGAACGCAACUGACGCUGAGACGCGAAAGCGUGGGGAGCAAACAGG